rnacentral:rRNA from 1 species
AAGUCGAACGAUGAACCUCACUUGUGGGGGGAUUAGUGGCGAACGGGUGAGUAACACGUGAGUAACCUGCCCUUAACUCUGGGAUAAGCCUGGGAAACUGGGUCUAAUACCGGAUAUGACUCCUCAUCGCAUGGUGGGGGGUGGAAAGCUUUAUUGUGGUUUUGGAUGGACUCGCGGCCUAUCAGCUUGUUGGUGAGGUAAUGGCUCACCAAGGCGACGACGGGUAGCCGGCCUGAGAGGGUGACCGGCCACACUGGGACUGAGACACGGCCCAGACUCCUACGGGAGGCAGCAGUGGGGAAUAUUGCACAAUGGGCGAAAGCCUGAUGCAGCGACGCCGCGUGAGGGAUGACGGCCUUCGGGUUGUAAACCUCUUUCAGUAGGGAAGAAGCGAAAGUGACGGUACCUGCAGAAGAAGCGCCGGCUAACUACGUGCCAGCAGCCGCGGUAAUACGUAGGGCGCAAGCGUUAUCCGGAAUUAUUGGGCGUAAAGAGCUCGUAGGCGGUUUGUCGCGUCUGCCGUGAAAGUCCGGGGCUCAACUCCGGAUCUGCGGUGGGUACGGGCAGACUAGAGUGAUGUAGGGGAGACUGGAAUUCCUGGUGUAGCGGUGAAAUGCGCAGAUAUCAGGAGGAACNUCNAUGGCGAAGGCAGGUCUCUGGGCAUUAACUGACGCUGAGGAGCGAAAGCAUGGGGAGCGAACAGGAUUAGAUACCNCUGGUAGUCCAUGCCGUAAACGUUGGGCACUAGGUGU